CAGAAACUUCUUUGGCCAGACCUAGAUAUUAGUUCAAGCAAGGGAAAAAUGGAUGAACUACCGGAUUGUAAUGAUAUUGUGAUCAACAGUUGUUGUUCUAGUGAUGAUCAGACAUUAAUAGCUUGUGGAACAGAUAAUAAUCUUGUGUGUAUAUGGAGGAAGAAUCCUGUAUCAUUUCUAUAGUGUUACAAUAUGGCUACCAUUUGAGGGGGAGACCUUGAAUCAGGGAGAUAACUCUUUAAAUCAUUCAUGUGCUUCUUAAAAGUCAAGUUUCAUCAAUGUAUUUUAAGAUUUUAGCUAUAACAGAUUGGAAAUAAAUUUACCUAGAAGCUUAGAAUAUAUUAAUGAAAAUGGUUGACACAAACAUUCUGAUGAUUUUAUGAGUUAUUUCCCUCAAUUUAGGUCUAACUCCUUAAUAUAGAUGCAUCUUAUAAGCAUCAGAUCUUACAAAGGAAAAUGUUGAAGCUGAUUGAAAAAAUACGAAAGAUAAUUCAAGGAUUUAAGAUUUCCUCAAAUUUGACGAAUUGUUGACAAAAAUGUCUGUUAAAAAACAACAGUAUUUUCAUUAUGAUGAUAAAAAGGUAGAAAACAAUUUAACUGCCCGAUUUUUAAAAGAUGCUCAUAGGUUACGCUUAUGUCAUAUUUUUGUUUUUUUGCAAUAAUUUUACUGAGAUGAAAUAUUGUUUUAUUUAAUCAUUCCUACUUGGGUGUUUUUUUGCAUAUUUUUAUUUAAAUUAUAAGUCUAUCUUUGUAUUCGUUACUACUUCAGAAGUUCAGAAGUUAUUGAGGAAAUUUAAUGGAGCUUUCUCUUUUAACUGUUUUAAAACCAGUUUAAUGUCUGUUGCAGUAGCUCACAGUUUAACUUGUAUAUUUUUGUUAUAGAUAUUCAUGAAAUAUUGAAAUUUAUCGGUGAACUUUAAUAAUUUGUCAAGUAAUUUAAACCAUAAUGAAAAUAUGGACAUUGUAAAUAGGAAUGUGAUAGUAUGAAUGUAUAAGCUGAAAGUGAAGAUAGAAUAUUGUUAGUAUAUGAGUUUUUAGAGGAGAUAUCAUAGUUUUAGUAUGUCAUUUAGUUUUAGCAUUUGUUAGUGAUAAACUGUUAUUGAGAAAAGUUUUUUUUUGUUAUACAAUAGAUAUUUUUACUACAUUA